GGAAUGAAUGUUGUUUACUUCCUCUUCUAUGGGACUUUUGAUGAUGAGGUAUCACUCCGCCAGAAAAGUAGAGACCUGUGUAUGUGUUUCAUGUUUCCAACAAAGGAAUGAAUGUUGUUUACUUCCUCUUCUAUCGGACUUUUGAUGAUGAGGUAUCACUCCGCCAGAAAAGUAGAGACCUGUGUAUGUGUUUCAUGUUUCCAACAAAGGACGAGGAAGGCGGCCUGCCGUCGGCGUCUGAGAUUAGCUAGCGGCCGCGCACAAUGACAGCUCUCGUCUUGUUUGCGGCCAAGGAUCUGGCACGGCGGCGCUCUUGGGCGCGCUGUGGCGGGACGGCAAUGAAUAGAGACGGGGGAGUGUUGGCAAACAAUACGCACGCCGUGACUCCUUCUACACAUCCAGGCUUUUCCUCGCCCGGCCGGCCUCCGACGACGACGACAACAAUGACCCACAUUCUGCUCGGGCAACCCACCUGGCGGCGUCUGAUAAACGCCUGCCCGCCGUACAUUACGUGCGCCUGAAGGCAUCACUAAUCAGCACACCUUUAGUUGACUAGAGGUCCUCCGUUCCCACGUUGACGUUCUGUAUGUCUCGUCAUUCCUUGUUCCUCCUGCUUCCCGGACUGCCUCUUCUGCUUGGACACGGACCUUCCUACGCCCCGCUAUAGCCCCCCGACUUCCUGCUUGCCUCAUGGACAUUCGAGCCUCCCUUUCCCCUCCGGGACUCCCGCCUCUCGCUCAAAACCCCCGGUAACACACAACAGCUAAUCUCCACAAAUAGCCACACACCUUACACCCUUUUGUAUUUAGUCACACUUAAUUCUCUAGUUUAAAAUAUUAUUGUUUUGCAAUUAUAUAUAUAAUAAAUCAUUAAUCUUAACUAUGCCCUCUUGUGGUCUGUGCCGUCAACUCUCCUUAUGUACAUAACACCUGUCUCUUCAUCCGCAUCUCCUCCAGUCUCUCCAAAUGUACUCUGGUGUGGCAGAGAUCCAGCAGCUGGUCUCCAUAAUAAUAAUAAUAAUAAUAAUAAUAAUGAAUUACAUUAGUAACGCACUUAACUUUUGUUAAAAUCUCAGACUGCUACAAAGAAUAUGAAAAAAGGUAAUCAAUUAAAAUAGAAAGUUAGAAUAUAUAAUAGAAAAUUUUAAUGUAAAUGAAAACAUGAAAAACACUAGAUAAACACUACAUAAAACAUAGAAAUAUAGAAAUACAAAAAAAUAAUAAUAAUAAUGAAAAUAAAAAAAAUAAAUAAAAAAUAGCCAACAGGCAGGGAGAUCCGGAAGUUGACAAAAAACUUGUUGCCGUCACAGAACAACAUUUUUUUUUUUUUUUUUUAAACUGCAUGAUAUCCUGCUCGAUGCUAAUCUUUUCUCCCUUUUUGAUUAGGUAUCAAAGAACAUCAGAGACUGUUUGAUUCCGCUCGUCUUUUCCUUCUAACCGCUGCACAAAUAGUCUCUUUGUAAAGAUGCUAUUGUGCCUACGUUAUCGUGUUCUACGUUGAAGCGCAGCAAAGGCGGAGAACAGUCAUCUGUAUCAGUGCGGCGAUAUCAGCACGUGGAAUCAGCGUCCGUGUUGGACCGGAUCUGCCAGCGAGGAACCAACAAUCUAAUGAAAGCUGGUCCCCCUAAAGAGCGCCGCUAAUGAGUCGCAGCCUUCUAGACAUUUCCAUUUGGUCUUCUGGCCAUGUUUUCUAAUCAGGCAUUAUGUCUCAUUAAGUCUGGCAAAGAAGGACACACACUUUACAUUAUCCAAAACACACACUACAUCAUCCUCAACACACACUGUACAUCAUC